rnacentral:rRNA from 1 species
UACGUAGGGUGCAGGCGUUAAUCGGAAUUACUGGGCGUAAAGCGUGCGCAGGCGGUUCCUUAAGUCAGAUGGGAAAGCCCCGGGCUUAACCUGGGAACUGCGUUUGAAACUGGGAGACUCGAGUGUGGCAGAGGGGGGUGGAAUUCCACGUGUAGCAGUGAAAUGCGUAGAUAUGUGGAGGAACACCGAUGGCGAAGGCAGCCCCCUGGGUCAACACUGACGCUCAUGCACGAAAGCGUGGGGAGCAAACAGG